rnacentral:rRNA from 1 species
UACGUAGGUGGCAAGCGUUAUCCGGAUUUAUUGGGUGUAAAGGGCGUGUAGGCGGGAGCGCAAGUCAGAUGUGAAAACUCAGGGCUCAACCCUGAGCCUGCAUUUGAAACUGUGUUUCUUGAGUGCUGGAGAGGCAAUCGGAAUUCCGUGUGUAGCGGUGAAAUGCGUAGAUAUACGGAGGAACACCAGUGGCGAAGGCGGAUUGCUGGACAGUAACUGACACUGAGGCUCGAAAGCGUGGGGAGCAAACAGG